rnacentral:misc_RNA from 1 species
GGCAGUGUUAAAUUGUUUAACACGGUGGAUGGCUAUCUUGUUUUGUUCUGAGAAAGGUAUAUGAUGUGUGGCGAUGGUAUAUUGUUCUAUAGAGGGAUAUCGCUGAUGUUCAUGACCUCCUCUUCACAAUAAAUCAGAAAAUUGCCGUCCAGCCCUGGGCGGCCGCCACGUACAACGAAACUUCUCAGCAAGACGAAGAUUGCAAGUCCGAAUCGUCAACCAGUGGGUCGACAGCGUCAUCGAUUGACAUCACAAUGGUGGAACCUAACAACAAGAGGAAACGCUGGCUGUGUGUCGUCAUCAUGACCUUUGUUGCGGUCCUGUUAUCAGCCGCCAUUAUUGGAGUCUGUUUAGGAUUGUUGAAAUAAACUUGACUAUUUGUUACAAAUGUUUUAUCAUAGACCCCAUAUACCAAAGUAACACGGUGCAAUUAUGUAUGCCAUGAUUAUCUAUUUUCGUAUUUAGAUGUGAACUUAAUGAAAACCCCAUAACUCUGUCAAAAUGAAAGAUAUAUAUCUUUAUGUAUUUUGUAUUUCCAGUUUAGAAGGGUUUUGAAAAAGAAAAGAAAAUUGUACAAAUUUAAUCUGAAUAUUUUUUUCUGAGAUAGGUAUGAAACAAAUUGAAGUAUGGUUUCUGUAUAAAAUAUGUGUAAAAAUAUAGUGAAAAUACUAUUUGAUUCGAAAUUAAUUUUUAUUGAACAUUGCUUAAUUAAAGGUUAUAAUAUUUAUUUUCUAUAAUAUUGGUUUUUUUUUAAAGUUUAAAUUAAAUAUAACAUGUAUGUAUGUUAAACCUGGUAAGUAAUUGAAAAGAAAUACAUGCUCUUUGAUUAAUGUAUAUUAAUACUGUGAUUUUGUUAGAAUUAGAAUAUAUGGUUGUAGUUUAAAAUUAAUUAUUAAAAAAACCACAUUAAAUAUGUUUACAAG